UUUGAUUCACCGUCAUCACCAUCAUCAUCGUCGUCGUCAUCAUCAUCACUUUCUCGACCAUGCGCAUUUUUUGAAUGAAUAAUAUUCUCAUAUGCCCAAUUAAUAUCUUCGUAUUCCAUAAAAUCUGCAUCAUUUCGAUCGACAUGUUUUCGAAUAAAAUUGUGUAUCGUCAUUGUAGCAACAACGAUCACCGUUUGCUUUUCAAAACUAUAACUUGGCAUAUCCCUUAAAAUG
rnacentral:lncRNA from 1 species